CGCCGAUGGCUGAUGCCGCGAUUACGCCGGCGGGGGCGGCCCGCGCCCCACGACCGUGCCCGACAAGCCGCGCCGCUUAAUUUCUGAAGAGAUUUAUAUUUUUUUGUUGUCAGGAAAUGAACAAAUACUUAUCAAUGUAAAAACUGCUAUCUCCGAUCUCCCCGCCAGGUUUUUCAUGCUGAUAUUAUUUGCACCCCGCGACACAGGAAAUGAAAACCUCCUCCGCCUUUCACGUCGCCACCUCGCCUCCGAAUCCUCUGCGAGCAGCCCGGCCUCCCCCGGCACCGCGCCCCGGCCCCCUCCGGGCUCCCUCCCCGGAUGAAAAAGGAUUCCCUUUCAGCAUGAGGCAUCGUGGGCCCCGGGGCUUGUAUUGAUUCAGAACGAGACCUAAUAAAACACGAGCAGGUGAUUUAAGUUUCA